rnacentral:lncRNA from 1 species
AACCAAUUCAAGAGUUGAAGACCAGUUGAUCGAUUGACGUGCAUGUGCUUGUAAUACGACCUAACUAGAAUCCAUGAUCAUCACCUAUUUAAAGUUUAGCUUUAAUUAUUGCUGCGAUUAUAACUGCUUGCAAUGUGCCGUUUGCAUGUGAUGUGAAUGUGAGUCGGGUAGAUAGGUUUACAUGUGAUGUAGCAAACCCAAUUGAGACCUAAAUCAAAAC